rnacentral:rRNA from 1 species
GACGAACGCUGGCGGCGUGCCUAAUACAUGCAAGUUGAGCGCUGAAGGUUGGUACUUGUACCAACUGGAUGAGCAGCGCACGGGUGAGUAACGCGUGGGGAAUCUGCCUUUGAGCGGGGGACAACAUUUGGAAACGAAUGCUAAUACCGCAUAAAAACUUUAAACACAAGUUUUAAGUUUGAAAGAUGCAAUUGCAUCACUCAAAGAUGAUCCCGCGUUGUAUUAGCUAGUUGGUGAGGUAAAGGCUCACCAAGGCGAUGAUACAUAGCCGACCUGAGAGGGUGAUCGGCCACAUUGGGACUGAGACACGGCCCAAACUCCUACGGGAGGCAGCAGUAGGGAAUCUUCGGCAAGGGACGAAAGUCUGACCGAGCAACGCCGCGGGAGUGAAGAAGGUUUUCGGAUCGUAAAACUCUGUUGGUAGAGAAGAACGUUGGUGAGAGUGGAAAGCUCAUCAAGUGACGGUAACUACCCAGAAAGGGACGGCUAACUACGUG